rnacentral:lncRNA from 1 species
AGAUAUGAUAAAAUUGAUUUGUUUUGAAGAUAUAUGAGUGGAAGUAGUGAAUCAUGAAAUACUUUGGUUUAGGAGUUUGGCAAACAUAUGUUGUAGUAUUGUAUGUAUUGUUAGGGUUAGAUUUUGGAAAACUAAAAUGUUUUUUUCAAAAAUUAGUUUUCACCUAUAUGUGUUUAUUUCUGUGUAUAGUAAACACUUUUCAAGUUUGAUUUAGUUUUAUGAAGUGUUUAAUUAGAUAAUUAAGUUUAGGGGUUAUGUUUAGGGUGUGGACGACUUAUAUUUCAGUCGUCUGUUAAAUAAUUUACCCGGACGACGUAUAUUUCAGUCGUCCAGACGACUUACUUGUAAGUCGUCUGGAAAGUUUUCUAUUUUAGUUUCCCGCUAAAAAUAUUUAAUUUCCCGC